AACGCAAUUUGAUAUUAUUACGCAUAAUAUUUAAAACAUCACGGACUAUUGAAAUUGAAAACUCUUUUUAGAUAUUAUUCCAAGUGUAUUAUAAAAGUGACUAAAAAAUGCUUGACUAUAAUAUAAUUAAAUAUAUAUCUUUAUGCAUUUAUUAAUAGUAUUAAAUGGAAAAUCAAAUUAACUGUUAAGGGGAUUAACGGUGACGGUGUAUA